CGCCGCCUGCAACGGCCGCAGAGGAAAUCUGAAAGUCCAAACACCACCCACCACCCCCCGGCCCCCGCCGGGAGGGGAAACCCAGGGCGAAGGAGGCACGAAAGGGCACCUCGGCGGUGGGGCCUGGCCUUCCAUGCAACGGCCCCGGGAAACGUCAGCCGGGCCGGGCACAGAAAGGGUGGAACCAAAGUAAACUCUUUUUUAAUACUGGGGGGGGGGGCGGAGGGCCGUUCCUGGGCGGAGGAGGGAUUGUUUUGGCUAUUCCAAAUUCCCGUGCAAGCUCCUGCUAUUUAAAUAAACGAGGGGUCUAUCAUCCAGUGCGCUUUUAGAGGCACAAGCGAUUCCUAGCCUGAAGACAUAGACACUUCAGGGAUUGGGAGGUGAUAAAUGGCCGGGAGUCAAGAGUGGUACUAGGGCUAUUGGAAGGGGGUUCCCUAUUUCGGAAGGAUGGCGAAACAAAGGCUUCUGUACUGCUUGGGAUCGAGAUUGCAAUUGUUGCCCUGGCAGGAAGAUUGCAAG
rnacentral:rRNA from 1 species